UCUUCUUCGGUGUCUGGUUCUCCCUCGUCUUCUCUCAGAUCGCCUUCUUCUUCAGCUCGUCGCUAGUGGCCUCCUUCAAUUCAUGGAUUCUCGCCGCCUUCCUCUGCGCCGAGACUAAUUUCUUGAUCGGCGUUUAGGUCUCCCUCCAGUUCAAGUGGAGAUUACAUUAUCAUUCUUAAAGGGUCAAAAGGAUUAGGAAUAUACCACUACUGGGGCCUUCUGGGUUAUGCUUUUUCUCUACAGAUAGAAUCAAAUGGAACCCAAUUUCUCUGAUUUCUCCAUAACUGCACAAAAAGGAGUAAGGAGAAUUCUUGUACAUCUCAACAUUCGAUAAUUCGAUCCUCAUCGAACUUCUCCUCCUUCUCUCUCUGCUAUCACUGAAAGCCAACAAGAUCUCUACACAAAUUGUGAUUGGUACAGCAAUAGCAAUUGCUAGUGUUGUCAUUUACUCCUUGAUAAAAGCAAGCUUGGAAGAGCAAACAAAGGCAAGGAUUUUGAAGUACCCCAUCUGCGAUUGAACUCACAUACAAUAUAUCAUAUGUUCUAUUUCAAAAGGUUGCUGCUAUUUCUGCAUCAUAAGAGGUAUAGCAUGGAAAGGGAAAAUAAGACAUGUGCAGUCACAGGCUUCAUCUACUGAUUACAAAAUUGAAAUGCUCGUUGAACUUUGACUAUUGUUGUAGUGUUGUUACCAAUUUGUAAGUGAUCUCCAAAGAGACUUGAUCACUACUGUUGUAAGA